GCCCUCGUAGUUCAACGGGAUAGAACGAUGGCCUCCUAAGCCGUAAAUCCUGGUUCGAGUCCAGGCGAGGGUA
rnacentral:tRNA from 2 species